CUUACCAGUUUGCACCUUGCUUUUUGCAUGUAACAAUCUUGGUAUCCAUAUUGACACAGAGGGAUCUUCCUCAUUUUUCUUCAAGGCUGAAUAUAGAGAAUUGUGGGAACAUGUCACAGUUUAUAAGUCCCCCAUUGAUAGACAUUUGGAUUGUGUGCAAUCUUCUGCUGUGAUAAAUGAUGACACAAUGAAUAGUCUUUUGCAUCUGUCAGUGAAUUUCUUUUUUCUUUUUCUUAGAUUAGCCCUGAACUAGCAUCCACUGCCAAGCCUCCUCUUUCUGCUGAGGAAGACUGGCCCUGAGCUAACAUCUGUGCCCAUCUUCCUCUAUUUUGUAUGUGGGACACCUGCCAUAGCAUGGCCUGAUGAGCAGUGUGUAGCUCUACACCUGGGAUCCGGAGCAGUGAACCCCAGGCUGCCAAAGCGGAGCGCGUGAACUUAACUGCUGUGCCACAGGGCUGCCUGUGUCAAUGACUUUCUUUUAGUAAACACAACUAGGAUUGAGGGCAGAAGGGCAGGGGAGAGAGGGAGAAAUGGAGGGGGGAGAGAGAGAGAGAUGCUUGAUUUUUUAAAAGAUGGUCCCUUGGACAAGAACAUUUGUCAAAGAAGGCCUGGAUGCUCUUGGGAAUUAGCUGACAUUCCAAAGUGUUCUCUUUUCCUGAUAGCUUUUGCACCCCUUAAGACGACACUGAGAGCGACCCUAGUCCCUCCACAGCCUUUGAAUGAAUGGGAGGCCCUGAUCUGUUUGGGUGAUUGGAUUUGUCUUGGCAGGUGGGGCUGGCUAUCAUCCACUUAAGCAGGACAGGUUCUCCAGGGUGCCAGGAAGCCUCCUCUUCAACAUGUUCUCUUGAUUUUUACUGACUCCUUUGACAGGGAGAAGCCUCUUGCUUACGAGCCACCCACUACGAGAGCACUUGCUGACGUUAAUGUGUAAAUGGCAUCCGUACCAGGCACUUUCCUGAGAAAACACUUUGAUAGAGCAGAGGACAGAGCAAGCAUGACGAUGCCCAGUUGUGGAAAACGGGAGAGGGUGUCUUCCGACCGAGGGAGGAUGGGGAGGCUCAGAGUAAGACGUAUUUCACCAGGAAGUCUCCCAAUCUGUGAAUUGAGCAUGCCUCACACGGAGAUGGGAGAAUGGUGGAAGCCUAACCUCCUGGAUGAGGCAGUUCCUUUUGGUCGAGCACUGACAGCAUCUACUACACCAACAAUCUUGGAGCGAAGAAGUGGGGAAAGGAGGAAGCUGCACAGAUGUUGAAACGACUACUACAGGAUGAGAUGUUAAACUGGAAAGAAAACUUACAGACCUACAGGAACACAAGGACAGUAACAUCUUUGUAUUCUCACAACCCAGAGAUGUAAAAUGUGUGUGUAAGAUGGAGAUAGAGCUUCUGCAUUUUCAAAAUGCUCAGAUGCCUGCAUGUGAAAGGCAGAGAGGAGAACCGGGACUCUCAGAGGAGAUGAAUUUUGACUCCAGACUGACUGGAACCAUCAGGAACUGGUGACUUGUGACCACAGCUCGUCCCGAGCAGACUCACUGCUGCCUCUGUGGUGAGCCUAUUUUCAAAGCCCCACAGUGGCCCCUUGUAAACUUUUCUCUUUUCCCUCAAGCCCUGACCCCUCCAGUCCACUUGAGCUCCCACUGUGUGGAGACAAAAGGCCACCUAUUCUGUAGCAUCCCCCUCAAAACACCUCUAUUUUCAGCCCUUCUUCCUCCCUAUUUUAAUGAGCAGGUUUUCUGGAUUUUUCCCGAGGUCAGUUUCCCUGCUUGUGUGCUUGGCCCCAUCCUUUCCACCCCCCCAGGACCUUACUCAUUUGGUGAAAAUACAACUUUUUAGAAAUAAAUAUGUAACGUUCUCUGCA
rnacentral:lncRNA from 1 species